CCUGUUGAGGAUCCGUGACAUUAAACGUGGUGACAUGUACGGAUGUGGAUCCUCGAUUGUUAGGGUGGGAUGCACCUGGAAAUCCAAAUGCGUUUCACUUCCACCAGCAGAAUUUAAUCUCUGUUGUUGAGUUUUCCUGGAGGACGUCAUACUCAGCUUUCAUGCUGCCGAGAAGCGCCAGGUCCUCCUCUGUUUUCUCCAGCUCCUGGUGUGAAACGUUAACCUGAUCCUGUUCAUGGAGCAUCUGCUUCUCCCUCUUUUGCCGAAUUGUAAUUUCCCCUGACAUUUGUUGGAAGAGCUCCUCCUUCUCAGCUCUCAGCUUGUCCAGAAGCAC